CGAGCCGCGACGGGCGAGGGGCGGACAUUCGUGGCGAAUGGGACCCUUCUUCUCGUCCCGCCCGCGGGGGCCCCUUGUCUCUCCUCUUCCUCGCCUGCGGGUGACAGGGUCUCACUCUGUCACCCAGGGUGGAGUGCAGUGGUGCAAUUAUGGCUCACUGUAGUCUUGAUCUCCUGGGCUCAAGCAGUCCUCCCAACUCAGCUCCCAAGUAGCUAGAACUACAGAAAUACUAGGCUUUAGAAUUUCACCAUAUGAAUUUUGGGAGAGAGGAGCACAGUUCAGCCCAUAACUAACACACGUGAUGAAGAAGACAUGCCAACAGAGGGUUAAUUCCAGAUAAAAUGAAAUGUUCCAAACAGUACGUUUGGUUAUUUGAUUCAUCUGUGGGGGAAGGAAAGAUAAUUUUCCAAAGGACAUUCCUCCUAAAUUCUGUCUUAAAGUUGUUUACGGAAUGAAGUUGAUAAUAGUGAGACCUUGUUGGUACAAGACUAUGUAACAUAACCUGCGCUUCUCAACAAAGAAUUGCUUUUCUGACUUCUGCACUCAAUAGCAAGACAAAUCUCUCCUCUGCCUUCUCCUUAUCAGACUACUCAACAUGAAGGCAAUAAGAAUGAAGACCUCUAUGUAUAAUAAUUGACUUCCACUUAAUAAAUAAGGUUACUUGGUACACUGGUCGACAAAACCUUGAAAUGUUGAUG
rnacentral:lncRNA from 10 species